GAAAUGCGAUAAGUAAUGUGAAUUACAGAAUUCAGUGAAUCAUCGAAUCUUUGAACGCACAUUGCGCCCGCCAGCACUCUGGCGGACAUGCCUGUUCGAGCGUCAUUUCAACCCUCAGAACCCCUUGCGGGAUCUGGCGUUGGGGAUUGGCAUCCAGCCAGCCCCGAAAUCUAGUGGCGGUCCCUCCGCGACCUCCCCUGUGCAGUAGCGAUACCUCGCAGCGGGACAGCGGUCUGACCACGCCGUAAAACCCCCAACUUCUCAAGGUUGACCUCGAAUCAGGUAGGAAUACCCGCUGAACUUAAGC
rnacentral:misc_RNA from 1 species